UAUGUAUCAAAAUUUUAUUGGUCAAUAAAAUUUGUAAUUACAAAAAUGUUCAUUUUUGUUUUUGUGUGGAAUCAUAAAUUGUUAACAAGUGUAUUUUGGUCUAAAUUAUUUCAAAAUGGACAUUUUUACAACAAUUUGCAAUGGUGGACAUAUUUGCAAAUAGAUAUAUGAAAGUUGACAUUUCUAGUAAUUUCCUCUUUUUAAAGUAAUGAUUAUGUUGCAAUGGUUUAAAAAUAAAGCUAUGUGUAAAACAUUGGUUGACAAUAGUCCGUUGUCAAAAUUCAAGUCAGUGAUGUAGAAAACAAUUUUUAAAAUGUAUUAAUAUGAUGAUGGCAAAUAGGAUAUUGUCAACAAAUAUUGUACAUAUAUCAGGAUUCAAGAUUUAAACAUGGUAAAAGGAUUUUAAAUUAUUUCUCCAUGUACAAAUACAUAAAAGUCCUAGGGAUAGAAGUAGAACAAGAACUAAGAGAACGUUACAAAAUUAUAUUUAUUCGUUCAUCGAAUCAAGCUACAAUCAAGAUCUUACAUGAAUUUUAACUAUACAUUUACAUAUAAACUUUGAAUCAAGAUCCUACAUUCUAAACUAUAAGUUGACAAAAACUCGAAAUAGUAUGAAAUGGGAUUAUAAUGACCAUUGGUAUUUGCCUAGCUAAGGGUUCCAUGUGAUUAAGCUCUUAAAGAUUCAUAUUGAUUUGGUUAUUCCAGAGUAACUAUAGAGAUUUAGCUGACGUUGCCCCUCUUAAUCCUAAAUUAAGAUCCUUUAAUGAAUUGCAACAUUUCAUUUGUAAAACUUAAUUUAAAUUGAGUAGAAUUAUUUUAUAUUAUCCGUGUCUCUAUAAGAAAGUUGGGUUGACACAAACACCUAAUCAAAUUAGUUUUAAUCCAAUUUUAUAUAAAUUGAACAAAAGUACAACUUCAAUGCAUUUUAUGAAUUGUAAUAUAGGUAGCUUCUAAAUAGAAAGAUUUAGAUUUAU
rnacentral:lncRNA from 1 species